UACGGAGGGUGCAAGCGUUAAUCGGAAUUACUGGGCGUAAAGCGCAUGCAGGCGGUCUGUUAAGUCAGAUGUGAAAUCCCCGGGCUUAACCUGGGAACUGCAUUUGAAACUGGCAGACUGGAGUCCUGGAGAGGGGGUAGAAUUUCCGGUGUAGCGGUGAAAUGCGUAGAUAUCGGAAGGAAUACCAGUGGCGAAGGCGGCCCCCUGGCCAGAGACUGACGCUCAGAUGCGAAAGCGUGGGGAGCAAACAGG
rnacentral:rRNA from 1 species